UUCCUUUUCAGUUUGGUCAAACUGGUUUUGUAGAUGCCUGAAUUUCUUUUGCAUUAUUUCCCACUUUUCCUCCCAGAAGGCUUCCAUCUUUUUGAUCAUUUCUGAUUCAAUUUCUUCAUGGGUUUGUGGAGAGUUUCCAUUUCCUUUGGAAGGUUUCAGAGCAUUUGCUUGUGUUUCCUCUUCUAUCUCCUCUGUAUUUUGUAUUUUUGCUCCAUAAAAUGUGUCCAAAGUUGCCCCCUUCUUCUUGUUUUUUUUUUUUUUUUUUUUUUUUUUUUUUUUUUU
rnacentral:lncRNA from 1 species